rnacentral:rRNA from 1 species
AUGCAAGUCGCAGCGGUACAGGAGAAGCUUGCUUCUCGCUGACGAGCGGCGGACGGGUGAGUAAUACUUAGGAAUCUACCUAGUAGUGGGGGAUAGCACGGGGAAACUCGUAUUAAUACCGCAUACGACCUACGGGAGAAAGGGGGCAGUUUACUGCUCUCGCUAUUAGAUGAGCCUAAGUCGGAUUAGCUAGAUGGUGGGGUAAAGGCCUACCUGGCGACGAUCUGUAGCUGGUCUGAGAGGAUGUCAGCCACACCGGGAUGAGACACGGCCCGGACUCCUACGGGGGCAGCAGUGGGGAAUAUUGGACAAUGGGGGAAACCCUGAUCCAGCCAUGCCGCGUGUGUGAAGAAGGCCUUUUGGUUGUAAAGCACUUUAAGCAGUGAAGAAGACUCCAUGGUUAAUACCCAUGGACGAUGACAUUAGCUGCAGAAUAAGCACCGGCUAACUCUGUGCCAGCAGCCGCGGUAAUACAGAGGGUGCAAGC